GGAUCCCAGAGCAGGGAGGAUGUCUGCCUCAGCUUGAGGAGCACUGAGGAAGUUCUGUUUUGUCCUCUCUGGUGGUGACCCUGCGAAGCAUCCACCACUUGUGUGCCACAGGAAGGCAGGUGGCUGGGCAGUCCUCAGCUUCCCUCCACAACCCAGUGACCAUGGGUUGAAGCAGUGCUGAGGGCCCCGGGCCCAGGGACAGGCAGUUCUGUGGCUCACACCCUCAUCCGCUGACUCCACUGGGAGAGACAACUUGACGGUCCCACCCUUUUUCUGGUCCACGUGAAUUUGUGAGCCCUGACCUAGUUUCAGAAUCAGUUAAAGGCCUAUGAGCAAGGAGAAAAACAAGAGAUGAGAUGGUUACAAGUACACAGAGAAGCCAAAAGAGAUCUGAGGACAUUUUGAGAAGGAGAAACAGAGCUGAACGCAGACACUGGGCCUGGGAUCAGCUCUAUUCACAAGCAGAUAGAAGCACAGUUUAUUUAAGCAAGGGAAUGACAAAAAAAAAAUAUGGAGAAAUCCUGUCUGCCUGCUCAUCCCUGCCUGUCCCCUAGAGAACCACAGGCAUCCUGACAGUUUCGAAAUUAAACGUGGACUGUUUCUGCACUCAUCCCUGUUCAGCAAAUUCAACUUGGAAACAGAUUUCAUUCAGACAGUGAUUGUUAAUGUGCUCAUAUGAUUUAGGGGCUAAUGCUUUCCUUUGUGGCAUAACUGGAAGAACCAUUAAAGGAAAAAGUAUUCA